CAGCAGCCCGAGUGGUGUUCGUUAUUAUUGGGCCUAAAGCGUCCGUAGCCUGUCUGAUAAAUCCUUGGGUAAAUCGGGUCGCUUAACGAUCCGAAUUCCGGGGAGACUGUUAGACUUGGGACCGGGAGAGGUCGGAGGUACUUUGGGGGUAGGGGUGAAAUCCUGUAAUCCUCAAAGGACCACCAGUGGCGAAGGCGUCCGACUAGAACGGCUCCGACGGUAAGGGACGAAGCCCUGGGGCACAAACCGGAUUAGAGACCCGUGUAGUCC
rnacentral:rRNA from 1 species